rnacentral:rRNA from 1 species
GGUGAUGGCGUGCCUUUUGUAGAAUGAACCGGCGAGUUACGAUCUGAUGCAAGGUUAAGCAGGAGAUGUGGAGCCGUAGCGAAAGCGAGUCUGAAUAGGGCGUUGAGUAUUUGGUCGUAGACCCGAAACCAGGUGAUCUACCCAUGGUCAGGUUGAAGUUCAGGUAACACUGAAUGGAGGACCGAACCGACUUACGUUGAAAAGUGAGCGGAUGAACUGUGGGUAGCGGAGAAAUUCCAAUCGAACUUGGAGAUAGCUGGUUCUCUCCGAAAUAGCUUUAGGGCUAGCCUCAAGUGAUGAUUAUUGGAGGUAGAGCACUGUUUGGACGAGGGGCCCCUCUCGGGUUACCGAAUUCAGACAAACUCCGAAUGCCAAUUAAUUUAACUUGGGAGUCAGAACAUGGGUGAUAAGGUCCGUGUUCGAAAGGGAAACAGCCCAGACCACCAGCUAAGGUCCCAAAAUAUAUGUUAAGUGGAAAAGGAUGUGGCGUUGCCCAGACAACUAGGAUGUUGGCUUAGAAGCAGCCAUCAUUUAAAGAGUGCGUAAUAGCUCACUAGUCGAGUGACACUGCGCCGAAAAUGUACCGGGGCUAAACAUAUUACCGAAGCUGUGGAUUGUCCGUAGGACAAUGGUAGGAGAGCGUUCUAAGGGCGUUGAAGCAUGAUCGCAAGGACAUGUGGAGCGCUUAGAAGUGAGAAUGCCGGUGUGAGUAGCGAAAGACGGGUGAGAAUCCCGUCCACCGAUUGACUAAGGUUUCCAGAGGAAGGCUCGUCCGCUCUGGGUUAGUCGGGUCCUAAGCUGAGGCCGACAGGCGUAGGCGAUGGAUAACAGGUUGAUAUUCCUGUACCACCUAGCAUCGUUUUAAUCGAUGGGGGGACGCAGUAGGAUAGGCGAAGCGUACGAUUGGAUUGUACGUCUAAGCAGUGAGAUUGAGUGUUAGGCAAAUCCGGCACUCUUAAGAUUGAGCUGUGAUGGGGAGAGGAAAUUGUUUCCUCGAGUCGUUGAUUUCACACUGCCGAGAAAAGCCUCUAGAUAGAUAAUAGGUGCCCGUACCGCAAACCGACACAGGUAGUCAAGAUGAGAAUUCUAAGGUGAGCGAGCGAACUCUCGUUAAGGAACUCGGCAAAAUGACCCCGUAACUUCGGGAGAAGGGGUGCUCUUUAGGGUGCAAGCCCAGAAGAGCCGCAGUGAAUAGGCCCAAGCGACUGUUUAUCAAAAACACAGGUCUCUGCUAAACCGUAAGGUGAUGUAUAGGGGCUGACGCCUGCCCGGUGCUGGAAGGUUAAGAGGAGUGGUUAGCUUCUGCGAAGCUACGAAUCGAAGCCCCAGUAAACGGCGGCCGUAACUAUAACGGUCCUAAGGUAGCGAAAUUCCUUGUCGGGUAAGUUCCGACCCGCACGAAAGGCGUAACGAUUUGGGCACUGUCUCAACGAGAGACUCGGUGAAAUCAUAGUACCUGUGAAGAUGCAGGUUACCCGCGACAGGACGGAAAGACCCCGUGGAGCUUUACUGUAGCCUGAUAUUGAAAUUCGGCACAGCUUGUACAGGAUAGGUAGGAGCCUUUGAAACGUGAGCGCUAGCUUACGUGGAGGCGCUGGUGGGAUACUACCCUAGCUGUGUUGGCUUUCUAACCCGCACCACUUAUCGUGGUGGGAGACAGUGUCAGGCGGGCAGUUUGACUGGGGCGGUCGCCUCCUAAAAGGUAACGGAGGCGCUCAAAGGUUCCCUCAGAAUGGUUGGAAAUCAUUCAUAGAGUGUAAAGGCAUAAGGGAGCUUGACUGCGAGACCUACAAGUCGAGCAGGGUCGAAAGACGGACUUAGUGAUCCGGUGGUUCCGCAUGGAAGGGCCAUCGCUCAACGGAUAAAAGCUACCCCGGGGAUAACAGGCUUAUCUCCCCCAAGAGUUCACAUCGACGGGGAGGUUUGGCACCUCGAUGUCGGCUCAUCGCAUCCUGGGGCUGUAGUCGGUCCCAAGGGUUGGGCUGUUCGCCCAUUAAAGCGGUACGCGAGCUGGGUUCAGAACGUCGUGAGACAGUUCGGUCCCUAUCCGUCGUGGGCGUAGGAAAUUUGAGAGGAGCUGUCCUUAGUACGAGAGGACCGGGAUGGACAUACCUCUGGUGUACCAGUUGUCGUGCCAACGGCAUAGCUGGGUAGCUAUGUAUGGACGGGAUAAGUGCUGAAAGCAUCUAAGCAUGAAGCCCCCCUCAAGAUGAGAUUUCCCAACUUCGGUUAUAAGAUCCCUCAAAGAUGAUGAGGUUAAUAGGUUCGAGGUGGAAGCGUGGUGACACGUGGAGCUGACGAAUACUAAUCGAUCGAAGACUUAAUCAA